rnacentral:rRNA from 1 species
GAUGAACGCUGGCGGCGUGCCUAAUACAUGCAAGUCGAGCGAACAGACGAGGAGCUUGCUCCUCUGACGUUAGCGGCGGACGGGUGAGUAACACGUGGAUAACCUACCUAUAAGACUGGGAUAACUUCGGGAAACCGGAGCUAAUACCGGAUAAUAUAUUGAACCGCAUGGUUCAAUAGUGAAAGACGGUUUUGCUGUCACUUAUAGAUGGAUCCGCGCCGCAUUAGCUAGUUGGUAAGGUAACGGCUUACCAAGGCGACGAUGCGUAGCCGACCUGAGAGGGUGAUCGGCCACACUGGAACUGAGACACGGUCCAGACUCCUACGGGAGGCAGCAGUAGGGAAUCUUCCGCAGUGGGCGAAAGCUUGACGGAGCAACGCCGCGUGAGUGAUGAAGGUCUUCGGAUCGUAAAACUCUGUUAUUAGGGAAGAACAAAUGUGUAAGUAACUAUGCACGUCUUGACGGUACCUAAUCAGAAAGCCACGGCUAACUACGU